AGCGUAGACGGCUGUGUAAGUCUGAAGUGAAAGCCCGGGGCUCAACCCCGGGACUGCUUUGGAAACUAUGCAGCUAGAGUGUCGGAGAGGUAAGUGGAAUUCCCAGUGUAGCGGUGAAAUGCGUAGAUAUUGGGAGAAACACCAGUGGCGAAGGCGGCUUACUGGACGAUGACUGACGCUGAGGCUCGAAAGCGUGGGGAGCAAACA
rnacentral:rRNA from 1 species